rnacentral:sRNA from 1 species
ACUCAACAAGAAUCCAUUAAAAAAGGUGAGUUCGAAUUGUAAAAGCAUGCCACUAUCGGUUUUACCGAUUGGGUGGAUCCUUGAUCAGUUCGGUAGCCUUAAACCUGUUAUUCGGAGUUU